AGCGCAGCGCAGGGAGCGCAGGCGGUGGCGGCACCAGGUUCCCGGGGCUCCAGCGCUCGGCGCAGCGAAGUAGCCUCCGGCGGUGGCAACUACGGCGGCGGCGCCGGGGCGAUGCUGUGGGUCUCGUUGGGCGCCGGUGUCCUGGCCUCUUCCUCAGAACGAAGAACAAACUAAAUUCAUCUCAAAAUGAUUAUAAAUCAUCAAGAAGGAGUAGCCUGCCACCUGAACUACUCAUAGGAAAUGACAUUAGAGGAAGACUUCAAAGAAACAUUAAGAACUUGGAUCCCAUUCACCUGAGGCACCCGAAGAAGAGACCAUCCAUAUUUCCAGAUGGAGUUUCAUUCUUAUCACUCAGGCUGGAGUGCAAUGACGCGAUCUGGGCUUACUGCAACCUCCGCCUUCUGGGUUCAAGUGAUUCUCCUGCCUCUGCCUCCCAAGUAGCUGGGAUUACAGGUGCACGCCACCACACCCAGAUCAAGCUUCAAAAAGUGCAUGGUGGUUAUGCUGUUGAAGAACUUAGACAAGAAAAUAACUCACUUGGCAGUGAGCACAGUGGAGAAUCAAAGAAUCAAUGA